CCCUCUGCCAAACCUGUUGCUUCACUUCUCUCUUGAACUACUUGCUCCUUGAGCUCAGCAUUGCCACACCCUGAAUUCUCUUCUGGCUCAUCUGGCUUCUCCCAUCAGCCCAGUGCUAGAAUGAAGGAGGAAGGCCCAAAGACCACCCCCACUCCCGCCCCAGGUUCCCUUUUUCUGUGCUGCCGCUGAGCCUCCACACCCUGAGCCCGGGACUGGCAGUGCCUUGACAGGCCCCCACAAAACAGGCUGCCUCUCCAGGAAUCCCCAUAAUAAGUCGGUGGGGCUGACCCUGUAUGUCCAGGGACUGGGGGAUGUGGAGGACAGUGAUGGAGAGUGAGCCAGCAAAUUGGGUGUAGACCCCUCCCUAGAAACUAAUCAUUUUCAAGCUGGCACGUGAGCAGUUAGCAACCCUGGGAACUGGGACACCCGGUCACUGUGUCUCUCUCCCAAUUCUGCCCCACGCUACCCACCCACCAGGUUCCACCCAGCUCUCCCGCACAGGACUUUCUGUCUCUGAUGCUCACUUGGUUCUAGGCAUUGCCUCCCCUGUGUUUUUGGGUGCACAGUUCUACCUUCCCUCUGAAAAGGCUGUCCCCAGGGGCAGCUGAUGGGGCUUCUCCCCUCCAUCUGUUCACUCUGGACCCAGCAUGGUGUGCAGCAGAACAGGCCUCUGCC
rnacentral:lncRNA from 1 species